UGGGGAAUAUUGGACAAUGGGCGAAAGCCUGAUCCAGCCAUGCCGCGUGUGUGAAGAAGGUCUUCGGAUUGUAAAGCACUUUAAGUUGGGAGGAAGGGCAGUAAGCGAAUACCUUGCUGUUUUGACGUUACCGACAGAAUAAGCACCGGCUAACUCUGUGCCAGCAGCCGCGGUAAUACAGAGGGUGCAAGCGUUAAUCGGAAUUACUGGGCGUAAAGCGCGCGUAGGUGGUUCGUUAAGUUGGAUGUGAAAGCCCCGGGCUCAACCUGGGACCUGCAUCCAAAACUGGCGAGCUAGAGUAGGGCAGAGGGUGGUGGAAUUUCCUGUGUAGCGGUGAAAUGCGUAGAUAUAGGAAGGAACACCAGUGGCGAAGGCGACCACCUGGGCUCAUACUGACACUGAGGUGCGAAAGCGUGGGGAGCAAACAGG
rnacentral:rRNA from 1 species